rnacentral:rRNA from 1 species
GUGGCGGACGGGUGAGUAAUGAAUCGCUAACGUACCCUCCCGUCUGGGAUAGCCGAGGGAAACUUCGGGUAAUACCAGAUGACACCCCCUUGUCGCAUGGCGAGGGGCUCAAAGGAGCAGUCCGCGGGUGGCGCGGGCGAUUUCGUAUCAGCUAGUUGGUGGGGUAACGGCCCACCAAGGCGACGACGCGUAGCCGGACUGAGAGGUUGGCCGGCCACAUUGGGACUGAGACACUGCCCAGACUCCUACGGGGGGCUGCAGUAACGAAUCUUCCGCAAUGCACGAAAGUGUGACGGAGCGACGCCGCGUGUGGGACGAAGUCCUUCGGGAUGUAAACCACUGUCAGGGGCUACCAAGUUCUGAGGAGCCCCAGAGGAAGGCACGGCUAACUCUGUGCCAGCAGCCGCGGUAAGACAGAGGUGCCUAGCGUUAGGCGGAAUCACUGGGCUUAAAGCGUGUGUAGGCGGGCCCGUAAGUACCUUGUGAAAUCCCACGGCUCAACCGUGGAACUGCUGGGUAUACUGCGGGCCUUGAGCGGCCUAGGGGCAGACGGAACAAGUGGUGGAGCGGUGAAAUGCGUAGAUAUCACUUGGAACGCCGACGGUGAAAACAGUCUGCUGGGGGCCUGCUGACGCUGAGACACGAAAGCCAGGGGAGCGAACGGGAUUAGAUACCCCGGUAGUCCUGGCCCUAAACGAUGUC